rnacentral:rRNA from 1 species
GGGAAACAGCCCAGACCGCCGACUAAGGUCCCCAAUGCUGUACUAAGUGGAAAAGGAUGUAAGACUUCAUAAACAACCAGGAUGUUGGCUUAGAAGCAGCCACCAUUAAAAGAGUGCGUAAUAGCUCACUGGUCGAGAGGCCUUGCGCCGAAGAUGUCCGGGGCUCAAGUACAGAACCGAAGUCGCGGCAGGAUUAUAUAAUUCUGGGUAGGGGAGCGUUGUAUAUCCGACUGAAGGUGUACCGGAAGGAGCGCUGGAGGAUAUACAAGAGAGAAUGCCGGUAUGAGUAGCGAAAAGAACAGUGAGAAUCUGUUCCACCGAAAGCCUAAGGUUUCCUGAGCAACGCUCGUCGACUCAGGGUAAGUCGGGACCUAAGCCGAGGCAAAAAGCAUAGGCGAUGGACAACAGGUUAAUAUUCCUGUACCGCUUCAAAUCGUUUGAGCAAUGGAGUGACACAGAAGGUAGCUUGAGCACGCGAAUGGAUGUGCGUGUCGAAGGUGGUAGAUUGCAGUAUAGGCAAAUCCGUACUGUAUAAGAUCGAGAACUGAUAGAUAGACGAUACUUCGGUAAAGUCAAAUUCAAGUGAGCCAUGCUGUCGAGAAAAGCUUCUAGUGAGAGAUGAGGCGCCCGUACCGAAACCGACACAGGUAGGCGGGGAGAGAAUCCUAAGGUGCGCGGGACAACCCUCGUUAAGGAACUCGGCAAAUUGUAUCCGUAACUUAGGGAUAAGGAUAGCCGGAGGAUGUGAAGGGAUUUACUUCUGGAGCGUCAGCCGGUGGCACAAGAGAGGCCCAAGCGACUGUUUAGCACAAACACAGGUGCCUGCAAAAGAGAAAUCUGACGUAUAGGUGCUGACACCUGCCCGGUGCUGGAAGGUUAAGAGGAGGGCUUAGAGGCAACUCGAAGGCUUGAAUUGAAGCCCCAGUAAACGGCGGCCGUAACUAUAACGGUCCUAAGGUAGCGAAAUUCCUUGUCGGGUAAGUUCCGACCCGCACGAAAGGUGUAACGACUUGGGCACUGUCUCAACGAGGGACCCGGUGAAAUUGAAGUACCUGUGAAGAUGCAGGUUACCCGCGACUGGACAGAAAGACCCCAUGGAGCUUUACUGCAACCUGACAUUGAUGUUCGGUAAAUAACGUACAGGAUAGGUGGGAGACGGAGAAGUAUUGGCGUUAGCUGAUAUGGAGUCAACCUUGGGAUACCACCCUUUAUUUAUUGGACCUCUAACUGAAGAAGUAACGACUCUCAGGACAGUAUCAGGCGGGCAGUUUGACUGGGGCGGUCGCCUCCCAAAAUGUAACGGAGGCGCCCAAAGGUUCCCUCAGCGCGAACGGAAACCGCGCAAAGAGUGUAAAGGCAGAAGGGAGCUUGACUGCGAGUCAGACACGACGAGCAGGUACGAAAGUAGGGCUUAGUGAUCCGGUGGUUCCGAGUGGAAGGGCCAUCGCUCAACGGAUAAAAGCUACCCUGGGGAUAACAGGCUAAUCUCUCCCAAGAGUCCAUAUCGACGGGGAGGUUUGGCACCUCGAUGUCGGCUCAUCACAUCCUGGGGCUGGAGCAGGUCCCAAGGGUUGGGCUGUUCGCCCAUUAAAGUGGUACGUGAGCUGGGUUCAGAACGUCGUGAGACAGUUCGGUCCAUAUCCAUCGCGGGCGUAAGAGACUUGAAGGGGGCUGCUCCUAGUACGAGAGGACCGGAGUGGACGGACCAAUGGUGUACCAAUUAUCCCGCCAGGGGUACAGUUGGGUAGCUACGUCCGGAAAAGAUAAACGCUGAAAGCAUCUAAGCGUGAAACUUGCCUUAAGAUGAGGUCUCCCGAAGCGAAAGCUUGAAAGACACCUUGAAGAUGACGAGGUUGAUAGGCCAGGAGUAGAAGUUCAGUAAUGAAUGUAGCGUACUGGUACUAAUAUGUCGAGAGCUUAACUU